rnacentral:lncRNA from 1 species
GCCUGUUAGACUUGUGACGAAAGACUGGUUCACAAGCUUCACAAAGGUUCAGGGGUAAGGAGGGGAGACUUUGCCAAAACCAGAAUGCUGUGGUCUGUCCUUCAAAGAGAAACACAAAAACACCAGAACAGGCUGCAUAAGCAUUUACAUAACUAAGGGGAAAUGAAAAGGAAAGAAAGAAGAGACAAACACAUCCCGCCCACCCCCAAGCAAUGGUGUGCCACAGAUGUGGUCACAGUACCAACGGAUGAAAGGAAACCUGUCUGCUCAAAGAAGCUAAGUCCCCAGACUGUGGCCCUGGAACCAAAGUGAUAAAACUCAGGCACAUGAGGCACAUGGUUGCUUCAGGGACAGCAUUCUGAGAGGUUAGGAGCUAGAGGUGGGGCAGAGAGAAGGAAACCAGACUAGAAGAAGAGAGGCAUGGUGUCAUGGAAACCAAAGAACAAGUGAGAACCUGGAAGAAAGUGCUUGGCCAUGAGACCUGCCUGCUGAAUAACCCCAGACAUAUGCCAAAUACAUGUGUUAAGUGGAAAUACACAUUAUAUGAUACAAUCAACCCUAUAAAGAAAAAACAAUUUUGCAACCUGGAGCAGGGAUUUCUGGGAUACACAGCUCAAAAAUCCACUGCCCUGCUUGCCUACACGACCUCCAAACUAUGGCUAGAUCACCAGUCACCUGCUAAAAUGGCAUGCCAGUUGGAAAACAAUUACGUGUCCAAAUCUUCUGGGAGCUAGGAAGCCCUAACAGGUGAGAUUCUACCCACUUUACUUCUCUGGGUGAAGUUUCAUGGACUUUGAAGUAGAGAAUUGGAAACAUGAGCUUCAGGAACCAAAAUAAAGGGUGGUGGUAGUUUUUCUGACCA